rnacentral:rRNA from 1 species
GACGUAGGGUGCGAGCGUUGUCCGGAUUUAUUGGGCGUAAAGAGCUCGUAGGCGGCUCGUCGCGUCGACCGUGAAAACCCGCAGCUUAACUGCGGGCUUGCGGGUUGAUACGGGCGGGUCUAGAGUUCGGGUAGGGGAGGAACUUGGGAAUUCUGGUGUAGCGGUAGAAAUGCGCAGAUAUCAGGAGGAACACCGGUGGCGAAGGCGGGUCUCUGGGCAAUAACUGACGCUGAGGAGCGAAAGCGUGGGGAGCGAACAGG